rnacentral:rRNA from 1 species
GUAGGCGGAHUAGUAAGYGUUUUGUGAAAUCCCUCGGCUUAACCGAGGAACUGCUUGBCGAACUGCUAUUCUUGAGGUAGGUAGGGGUGUGUGGAACUCUUGGUGGAGCGGUGGAAUGCGUAGAUAUCAAGAGGAACGCCCGUGGAGAAGGCGGCACUCUGGGCCUAUCCUGACVCUGAGRCACGAAAGCGUGGGUAGCGAACCGGAUUAGAUACCCCGGUAGUCCMCGCCGUAAACGAUGUCUACUAGRUUUCGGGRAUUCUGACAUUGKCAGWGCCGAAGCWAAMGYGUUAAGUAG